rnacentral:rRNA from 1 species
UAAUACGAACUGUGCGAACGUUAUUCGGAAUCACUGGGCUUAAAGGGUGCGUAGGCGGCUCGCCAAGUCAGGUGUGAAAUCCCCCGGCUCAACCGGGGAACAGCGCUUGAAACUAGCAGGCUGGAGUGAGGCAGGGGUAUGUGGAACUUCCGGUGGAGCGGUGAAAUGUGUAGAUAUCGGAAGGAACGCCGGUGGCGAAAGCGGCAUACUGGGCCUUGUCUGACGCUGAGGCACGAAAGCCAGGGGAGUGAACGGGAUUAGAUACCCCGGUAAUCCUGGCCGUAAACACUGAGCACUGGAGGGGAGGGGUUUCGGCCUUUUCCCUCGCAGCGAAAGCGUUAAGUGCUCCGCCUGGGGAGUAUGGUCGCAAGGCUG